rnacentral:rRNA from 1 species
UACGUAGGGGGCAAGCGUUAUCCGGAUUUACUGGGUGUAAAGGGAGCGUAGACGGCAGUGCAAGUCUGAAGUGAAAGGCGGGGGCCCAACCCCCGGACUGCUUUGGAAACUGUGCUGCUGGAGUGCAGGAGAGGCAAGUGGAAUUCCUAGUGUAGCGGUGAAAUGCGUAGAUAUUAGGAGGAACACCAGUGGCGAAGGCGGCUUGCUGGACUGUAACUGACGUUGAGGCUCGAAAGCGUGGGUAGCAAACAGG